rnacentral:rRNA from 1 species
UACGGGGGGGGCAAGCGUUGUUCGGAAUUACUGGGCGUAAAGGGCUCGUAGGCGGCCAACUAAGUCAGACGUGAAAUCCCUCGGCUUAACCGGGGAACUGCGUCUGAUACUGGAUGGCUUGAGUUUGGGAGAGGGAUGCGGAAUUCCAGGUGUAGCGGUGAAAUGCGUAGAUAUUAGGAAGAACACCGGUGGCGAAGGCGGCCCACUGGUCCGGUACUGACGCUGAGGUGCGAAAGCGUGGGGAGCAAACAGG